GGAAACAGUGGCUAAUACCUCAUGUGGCACGGAUAACGUUGGUUAACCGUGUUAAAGACUUCGGUCGCUAAGAGAGCAGCCCGCCCCCGAUUAGCUUGUUGGUAGGGUAACGGCCUACCAAGGCUCCGAUCGGUAGGUGGCCUGAGAGGGUGGUCACUCACACUGGGACUGAGAUACGGCCCAGACUCCUACGGGGGCAGCAGUCUAGAAGCUUCCACAAUGGACGAAAGUCUGAUGGAGCGACGCCGCGUGUGGGAUGACAGCCGUGAGGUUGUAAACCACUGUCAGCAGGGAAGAAUGCCUUGAUGGUGAAUCAGGGAGAGACGGUACCUGCAGAGGAAGCCCCGGCUAACUCCGUGCCAGCAGCCGCGGUAAUACGGAGGGGGCAAACGUUGUUCGGAUUUACUGGGCGUAAAGGGUGUCUAGGCGGUUCGAUUAGUCUGGUGUGAAAUAUCCUCGCUCAACGAGGAAGACGCAUUGGAAACUGUCGAGCUCGAGAGUGGAAGAGGCAGGUGGAAUUCCUGGUGUAGCGGUGGAAUGCGUAGAUAUCAGGAAGAACACUCGUGGCGAAGGCGGCCUGCUGGUCCAUUUCUGACGCUGAAGCACGAAAGCCAGGGGAGCGAACGGGAUUAGAUACCCCGGUAGUCCUGGCCGUAAACGUUGAACACUGGAUGUCGGGGGUAUCGACCCCCUCGGUGUCGGAGCUAACGCGUUAAGUGUUCCGCCUGGGGAGUACGACCGCAAGGUUGAAACUCAAAGGAAUUGACGGGGGCCCGCACAAGCGGUGGAGGAUGUGGUUUAAUUCGACGCAACGCGAAGAACCUUACCUGGGCUUAAACCGCAGGGUAAACCCUCUGAAAGGAGGGCUGCUUCGGCAAUCCUGUAGAGGUGCUGCAUGGCUGUCGUCAGCUCGUGUCGUGAGAUGUUGGGUUAAGUCCCGCAACGAGCGCAACCCUUGCUCUUAGUUACCAGCGCGUAAUGGCGGGGACUCUAAGAGGACUGCCCUCGCAAGGGGGAGGAAGGUGGGGAUGACGUCAAGUCCUCAUGGCCCUUAUGUCCAGGGCUGCACACGUCCUACAAUGGCCGGUACAAAGGGCUGCAAGCUCGCGAGAGUUAGCUAAUCCCAAAAAGCCGGUCCCAGUUCGGAUUGCAGUCUGCAACUCGACUGCAUGAAGGUGGAAUCGCUAGUAAU
rnacentral:rRNA from 1 species